GACGAACGCUGGCGGCGUGCUUAACACAUGCAAGUCGAACGGAAAAGCCCAGCUUGCGGGGGGGGCUAGUGGGGAAAGCGGGAGUGUCACACGUGAAUACCGUGCUCUACACUGUGGUAUACCUUCAGGAAACUGGGGAUAAUAGGGUAUAGCUGCUCAUCCUACAGGGGGGGGGGGGGAGAGUUUCGGCGGUUGGGGAUGGACUCGCGGCCUAUCAGCUUGUUGGUGGGGUAGUGGCUUACCAAGGCCUUGACGGGUAGCCGGCCUGAGAGGGUGACCGGCCACAUUGGGACUGAGAUACGGCCCAGACUCCUACGGGAGGCAGCAGUGGGGAAUAUUGCACAAUGGGCGGAAGCCUGAUGCAGCAACGCCGCGUGCGGGAUGACGGCCUUCGGGUUGUAAACCGCUUUCGCCUGUGACGAAGCGUGAGUGACGGUAAUGGGUAAAGAAGCGCCGGCUAACUACGUG
rnacentral:rRNA from 1 species